rnacentral:rRNA from 1 species
UACGAAGGGGGCUAGCGUUGCUCGGAAUCACUGGGCGUAAAGGGCGCGUAGGCGGACAGUUUAGUCAGAGGUGAAAGCCCAGGGCUCAACCCGGGAAUUGCGCUUGAUACUGGUGCGCUUGAAUCCAGGAGAGGUUGGUGGAAUUCCCAGUGUAGCGGUGAAAUGCGUAGAUAUUGGGAGGAACACCAGUGGCGAAGGCGGCUCACUGGACCGGUACUGACGCUGAUGCGCGAAAGCGUGGGGAGCAAACGGG